rnacentral:rRNA from 1 species
CGGCCUUGACAUACUAAGAACUUUCCAGAGAUGGAUUGGUGCCUUCGGGAACUUAGAUACAGGUGCUGCAUGGCUGUCGUCAGCUCGUGUCGUGAGAUGUUGGGUUAAGUCCCGCAACGAGCGCAACCCUUUUCCUUAUUUGCCAGCGGGUCGAUGCCGGGAACUUUAAGGAGUACUGCCAGUGACAAACUGGAGGAAGGCGGGGACGACGUCAAGUCAUCAUGGCCCUUACGGCCAGGGCUACACACGUGCUACAAUGGUCGGUACAAAGGGUUGCUACCUCGCGAGAGGAUGCUAAUCUCAAAAAGCCGAUCGUAGUCCGGAUCGCAGUCUGCAACUCGACUGCGUGAAGUCGGAAUCGCUAGUAAUCGCGGAUCAGAAUGCCGCGGUGAAUACGUUCCCGGGCCUUGUACACACCGCCCGUCGCACCAUGGGAGUUUGUUGCACCAGAAGUAGGUAGUCUAACCGCAAGGAGGACGCUUACCACGGUGUGGCCGAUGACUGGGGUGAAGUCGUAACAAGGUAAGCGUAGAUGA